GAGGGGGGGAGAAGGGAGAGGGUGAUAUGAUAAAACAGACUGAAAGCCAUUAAUAUGUAUAGCUCGGGGGGAGAAGGGAGAGUGGGAUAUGAUAAAACAGACUGAAAGCCAUUAAUAUGUAUAGCUCGGGGGGAGAAGGGAGAGGGGGAUAUGAUAAAACAGACUGAAAGCCAUUAAUAUGUAUAGCUUGGGGGGAGAAGGGAGAGGAGGAUAUGAUAAAACAAACUGAAAGCCAUUAAUAUGUAUAGCUCGGGGGGGAGAAGGGAGAGGGGGAUAUGAUAAAACAGACUGAAAGCCAUUAAUAUGUAUAGCUUGGGGGGGAGAAGGGAGAGGGGAUAUGAUAAAACAGACUGAAAGCCAUUAAUAUGUAUAGCUCAGGGGGAGAGGGGAGAGGGGGAUAUGAUAAAACAGACUGAAAGCCAUUAAUAUGUAUAGCUCGGGGGGAGAAGGGAGAGGGGGAUAUGAU